CUAGCGGCAGACGGGUGAGUAACAUGUGGGAAUCUGCCUUUUGGUUCGGAACAACACGAGGAAACUUGUGCUAAUACCGGAUAAGCCCUUACGGGGAAAGUUUUAAUGCCAAAAGAUGAGCCCGCAUUUGAUUAGCUAGUUGGUAAGGUAAAAGCUUACCAAGGCGACAAUCAAUAGCUGAUUUGAGAGGAUGAUCAGCCACACUGGGACUGAGACACGGCCCAAACUCC
rnacentral:rRNA from 1 species